AAGCGAAGGAUAGGGAGGUGCGUCCCUAGCUAGGCCUGCUGGGAGUUACGAUUUCUUAACAGUUUCCAGCCCAUUGGCCGCCGACCUGCGGACUACAAUCCCAGCAUUGUAGUCCCCCCUCGUGGUGCGCAGCCCUGGAGGGAGGGACAGGGCGGUGUGGACUUCGCCCCUUCCUAAGCGAUGUCACACGCUAAUUCUGUGCCACACCCUCGCCAAGGGACUCGGGAGAAGGACUUGAGCGGCAGGUCUGGGCUGGGCGGUGAGGACGGUGUGACGCUGCGAAGUGCACCUUCCUUGCUCAAAUAGGAGGGGUCUGGUCGUCACUGCACAGCCCGCUGCACAUCUCGGUGUCCUCUCCCAUCCACACCGGGGGUUUUUCCAGAGCAUCGCGCCUCUUCCAGCCCAGGGAGCCGCCUAAUGUGCUAAACUCUAUGGGAACUGAGACAUCCAUCUGCUGCGUGGCCGCCCGCGCACAACUUCAGAGCUUUCAAGGGGUGAUGCGGGCGUGGCUCCUUCGUGAAAAUGUCACCCACUACAGCGCCUUUCUUGUGAUAUAGAAGUUGACGUGUGAGAGAGAUUUAUUGGGUUACCCAGGAUCUGCUAACAGCAGAGGAGAAAACCACAAUUCCCAGGCAUAAGAAUCUACCUAAAGAUGAUGGUUUAGAUAUUUUACACUUGAAAUCACCAGCCUCGUCUCAACUGAGUCCUGACUGUCGAGUGUCUCAAAAACACAGUUGGUGACCUGAUCCCUCAGGAACAGGUGGUGCUCCAGCUUUGUGGGAAUGGCUUUCAAGGUACGGAGCACUUGGGCAGCAUUUGAAGUCUAUCAUGUUUUACAUCUCUGCUUUGGAUGGAAAGUUAAUCACCCAUAGCCGUUAGGGAUGUAUCUCAAUAUGCUGGGGCUUAUCCGUUGAAUUUUCCUGUCUGGACAAUGGAAACCCAGAAGAACUUCUACUUGCAGGUAACCUCUUAAUAAUCGACGGCCCUAAGUUCCUUAUGUCCUCAGGAUGGUUCCUUGGAUUCCCAGAUGGUACCAGCUUUCAUGAUGCAUCUAAUCUGUACAAACCUGGGUAUUACUCUAUGUGAAAAGAAUACUUUGUUCAUAUUACAUGUUCUUAUAAUUUUCAUUUGUGAUUCGUGAGUAUGGGACACUAUAAAAAAACCUGAAAAACCUCAUCGUAGCAAUUGAAUCAUGUUACUGUACUUUAUGAAGAAUUAGCCCCUUCAGGAUUAAUUACACAUGGGUUCAUCAGCACAUUUGUAAAGAAAGGAAGAAAAGCUGUAUGGCAUUUAUGAAAUUGGAAAAAUAAAGAACUAUAUAUAGGGAGACCACAGCGCAAUACUAGGGCAGUUCUCUUAUUUUAAAUAGACUCUGUGCGGUCGAGUGCCCGCAUUCCUACCCUAUCCUGCAGUAUUCUCAUCCUACUAUUUACUGCGUAUUUAGGUGGGGGAUUCUGAAUUCACUUGUCCACAGCAUUAGUGGGGAUGUUGUAACAUGAGGCUAUCCAUCAUCUGUCAUCUUAAUAAAUAAUGAAGAGAAGAGCCUUGGGAUCUGUGUUCAGAUACACUGCUGCUGAGUGUGCCUGCAAAGACACUGCCCACAGCGGUGGUCUCAGAAUGUUGAACGUGAUGCCACCACAGCUGCUGUUCACAGAUCUAGGUGCUCCUUGGGAUGUGAGUCUCCUGCUUAGAUUUGUGGUUGUGAACCUGCUAUGCUCACCCCAAUUGUGGUGCUAUCUUCUGUAUUGCCUUUUCUAUUCCAUUAGUUUCCUGGGAACUCACUGUGUAACUGCAAUUCGGAGACUAUGCAGGGAUUCCACCCCCACUACCUAAGUCACUGUACACUGGUCACAUUUGUGUCAUGUUGUCAGACUCCACGCUCUUCCUUUCCGAUGGAAUUUGUUGAAGAAGUAUAGUUACCUGUAGAUCUCCUCAGUCUAAUGCUGCUGGGAUUGAUUAUGAAGCUGGGCGGCCUCAUUGACAUUAUUCAAAAUACGUUUCCCAUAUUUUGAAGUUUGAUACUACUUUCUUAGUGUGAACAUUUGCCAUAGCAGACAGUUUUAAAUAUCUUUGUGAAUUUAAGUGUCAAAACAACUAAUGAAGUAGGCACAUGAUCCCCAUUUUACAGGUUCCUGCUAAUGAAGUGCAAAUAUUGAUGAAGAUAAUACUGCUGCCUUGCUGCCAAGCAAUAACAAUCGCCUUUUUUUGUAUCUCCAAUUAUAAAUGCAAUACAUAUUGUAAAAAGAAAGGAACACACCAUAAAUAUCUUUAUAAAGUAAAAGUCUUGGCUGGUGGCCAGGAGCGGUGGCUCAUGCCUGUAAUUCCAGCACUUUGUGAGGCCGAGGUGGGUGGAUCAUAAGGUCAGGAAUUUGAGACCAUCCUGGCCAACAUGGUUAAACCCCGUCUCUACUAAAAAAUACAAAAAUUAGCUGGGCGUGGUGGCGGGUGCCUGUUAUCCCAGCUACCCAGGAGGCUGAGCCAGGAGAAUCGCUUGAACCCAGGAGGUAGAGGUUGCAGUGAGCCGAGACCAUGCCACUGCACUCUAGCCUGGGCAACAGAGUGAGACUCCAUCUCAAAAACAAAACAAAACAAAAAGCCUCGGCUGGCCCAUUGGCUCAAUCCAAGCACUUUGAGAGCCCAAGGCAGGUGGAUUUUUUGAGCCCAGAAGCUCAAGACCAGUCUGGGCAACACGGUACAACCCUUUCUCUACAAAAAAUACAAAAAUCAUCCAGUUGUGGUGAGGUACACCUGUAUUCCCAGCUACUAGGGAGGCUGAGGUGGGAGGAUUGUUUGAGCCUGCAAGGCCAAGUUUGCAGUGAGCUGUAAUCAUGCCACUGUGCUUCCAUCUGGGCAACAAAGUGAGACCCUGUCUCAAAACAUAAAAACAUAAUAAACUGAAAAUCUCCCCUUUAUUCCCUUCCCUUCAAACUCACUUUUUUUUCCUCUGAAAAAACUGUUAAGAGGUUGUUUUUUAUUCUUCUGGCUAUGUUCUAUAAAUUACUUUUUUUUUUUUUCUUUGAGAGGGAUUCUCGCUCUGCUGCUCAGGCUGGAGUGCAGUGGCGUGAUCUCGGCUCACUGCAACCUCCGCCUCCCGGGUUCAGGCAAUUCUCCUGCCUCAGCCUUCUGAGUAGCUGGGACUACAGGCACCCGCACCACGCCUGGCCAUUUUUUUGUACUUUUAGUAGAGACAGGGUUUCGCCGUGUUAUCCAGGAUGAUCUCAAUCUCCUGACUUCGUGAUCUGCCCACCUCAGCCUCCCAGAGUGCUAGGAUUACAGGAGUGAGACACCGAGCCCGGCCUGUUCUAUAACUUUCUAAAUGAUACACAAAAACUUUAUUUUAAAAAUUACAUCAUACUACAUUGGUUUUAUAAUUUACUCUUUCUCUAGCUAUAUUUUAUCUAUCUACCUAUCAUCUAUGUAUGUAUGUAUGUAUGUAUGUAUGUAUCUAUCUAUCUAUCUAUCUAUCUAUCUAUCCAUCUAUCUAUGACAAGGCCUUAAUCUGUCACCCAGACAGUAGCUCAAUUAUGGCUCACUGCAGACUCAAACUCUCAGGCUCAAAUGAUUCUCUAACUUCAACUUCUGAAGUAGCUGGGAGUACAGGUGCAUGCCACUACACCAGGCUAAUUGUUAGUUUAGUUUUGUUUUUUUAAACAGGGUCUCACUGUGUCACCCAGGCUGGAAUGCAAUGGCACAAUCACAGCUCACCCUAGCCUUGACUACUCAGGCUCAGGCAAUUCUCCUGUCUCAGCCUCCUGAAUAGCUGGGACCACAAAUGUGUAUUAGCACACUUGGGUAUUUAUUAUUAUUAUUUAUAGAGACAGGAUCUCUGUAUGCUGCUCAGGCUUGUCAUGAACUCUUGGGCUUAAGCAAUCUGCUACCUCGGCCUCCCAAAGUGCUGGGAUUACAGGUAUGAGCAACAACAACUUACCCAGCCUUUUUAUUCUGUGUAAGAAUAGCUGAUGCUAUUCUAUAUUAAAAAUAUAAUGGAAAUUAUUUAUGGUGUCUUUUCAAUUCUUAUGCAUUAAAAUUCUCUUAUUAGAGCCUUUUAUUAAUGGUCAUAGUGUAUUUUCCAUAAAAUAUUACUGUCAUACACUACACGCCAGUGAUUCAAGAUACCUGAACUUCACGAAUGCACAGUCACAUUAGAAUACUGUAGUUAUCUAAAAAAAUAUUUUUAUAAAUGAUACAUCAAGUUUGCAUACAAGGUAGCUGGGUGUGGUGGCAGGUGCCUGUAAUCUCAGUGAAGGCUGAGGCAGGCGAAUGGCUUGAACCCGGGAGGCGAAGGUUGAAAUGAGCCAACAUCACGCCAUUGCACUUCAGCCUGGCUGACUGAGCGAGACUCUGUAUAAAAAAAAAAUAAAGUUUGCACACAAGAUUUUAUGAGGAAAUAUUUUUCUUAUUUUUCUUUACAAUUCCGUAUUAGUGUCUCAGUUAUUUAGAGUAGGUUCCAGGGCAGCAGUUGAUUUGUUUUGGGUUUUACCUACGUAUUAUAAUUUUGGAUGUUAUAAUUUCCAACUCUGCCUGUACACUUGAAGUCAAUGUGGAUUAAAAAAAAUUAAUAGUACAAACUCUUCAUAGAUUCAACUUCAUAAAGUUAAAAGCAGGGGCAGCUCCUGCUUUAAAAAGGGAAUAGUGGAAGGCAGCAUGCCAUUUUAUUUAAACUCGCAAGUUAGGUUUUUCAGAUGGAUGAUAGUUAAGAUCAUUCAAUCCCAUUCCUGCUUCUAAGUGUUCCACAAAAUAGCACAUUAAAUCCUCAGUCCUAAGAAAUCACGGCAGAGAUUCCAAAUUUCCUCUCAAUGUCAAGGUGAACAGCGCAGUUUUUUCUCUUGCAAUAAAGGUACAUCAUUUGAUACACAAGGGAGCGUAGCAGUCAGAUACUUACAAGAUUGUGUUGUAGAAAUAACUUCUGUGUUUCAUGCGCAAUAUGUAUCCUCACCUCUAUCUCCCAGUCAGUAACACUAUCAGUUUCCUCAUCUGUCCUUUCUACUUUCUUUAAAAGAGGAUGAUGAUUGCAGACAACACAUGACAGAGGCAUUUCAAAUCAGGAAGAGUUUCUUGAGAUAUACGUGAUAUUAGUUUUAAGCAGAAUUUCCUGAAGAGUUUUAGUUACAAUACCACAUUCAACAGGAUGAUGGUGAAACUCAUAGUAAACAUUUGGCAAAACUUAGAUUAUGGGGCAGCCAUCUCCUAGAAACACUUCAUCGGGGUUUGUAUAUGAAAUGUGAAAUAUCGUAGGUUUAAUCCUGGCACAGAAACAAAACUGAGUGCAUUGCACUUGAACAGCUGACCAAUCCCCAGCACAGGUCCAUGUCAAGAAACAGAGAAGAAAGAAUCCAUUUAACCCAUGAAAGGUCUUCAUUUGCCCAAAUUGAAAACCAAAUUUCUCUCAGGAAACUAAUGUUGGGUUUAAUUAAAAUAUAAAUCGGUCAUAUAUUUUCAAAAUUAAAUUAUAUAUGUGUUUGUUUGUCUCUAUAAAUAUGUCCCCAACUUUGCUUAUGGCUUAUCUUCUAUGUUUUUUGGCUGAUUUUCAAUGUUUGUCUUAUCUUGUGUAGAUGAGUAGUCAUUGAAAUAGUCUUAAUUUCACCAAGUGUUUAAUUAUAAAUCUAUACUUCCUUUGUGUUAGAGAAAAUAUUUUGUGAACAAAAUUUAAUUUUUGGAAAGAUUUAUAUUUUUUCUUUUAAAAAUUGUAAUUGUGGUAAAAACACAUAAUGCAAAAUUUACCAUCUUAAUUCUUUUUAAGUGCAUAUUUCAUUAGUGUUAAGUGCAUUCACAUAGUUAUGCAAAAGAUCUGUAGAACUUCUAUGUCUUGCAAAACUAAAAUGCCUUUUAAGACAGUUGCCCAUUUUGCUGUCUCUUCAGCCCUUUGACAAACACCAUUCUAAUUUUUGUUCCUGUGAGUUUGUCUACUUAAGAUACCUGAUUAUGAAUGGAAUCAUACACUGUCACUUUGUUCCUGGCUUAUUUCAAUUAACAUGAUAUUCUCAUGAAUUAUCAUAGAAUGUGACUUUUUAAAGACUGAAUAAUAUUCCACUUUGUGUAUAUGCCACUUGUUAUUAAUCUGUUCAUUGGUCAAGGGACAUCUGGGUUGUUUCUGCCUUUUGUCUUGUGUUAAUAAUGCUGUAAUAAAUUUGGGUGUGCAAAUAUCUCUUCCAGAUCAUGUGUUGCAUAUUUUAAAUACAUACGUAGAAGGGGGUUGCUAGAUUAUAUAAUAAUCUCAUUUUAAAUUUUUUGAAGAGGUUUCUUACUGUUUUAAAAAUAGGUUUGAGGUGAUAGAUUAUUGUGACUUUGCUUUGCAUUUUUCUAGUAGAGUAAUGUCGAGUAUCCUUUUAAAUGCCUAGCCAUUUGCAUGUCUUCUUUGGAGAAAUGUCAUUUCAAACAUUUGCCAUUCUAAAUCAAGUUAUUAACUUUUUGUUGUUGUUGAGUUUUAGGAGUUUAUAUAUUUUGAAAAUUAACACCUACCAAAUAUGUGAUUAGAAAAUAUUUUUACUCUUUUUUAUUACAUGUAUGUAUGUAUGUAUGUAUGCACGUAUAUAACCCUAUACAAAAUAGGGUCUUGCUAUGUUUUCAUGACUAGUCUCAAAUUUUGGGCUCAAGUGAUCAUUCUGCCUUGACCUCCUAGAGAUCUAGAGUUAUAGACACGAGCCACCAUGUCCCGCUUUCAUCCACUUAUUAAGUGACAUUUGUAUGCCACUAAAUGUUUUCUUUGAUAUGUAGAAUAGUUGAAGCUUAAUAUUGUCCCCCUUUUUUUUGUUGUUCUUUUCCUUGUCGCUUAUGCAUUUGAUGUCAUACUUAGGCAAAGAGUUUUAAGAUUUAUGUCAUAAAGUUUUCCCCUAUGUUUACUUCUAAGAAUUUUAUUAGUUUUUAUGUUUAAAUAUUGAAUCCAUUAAAAAAACUUUUCUUUUUAUAUAUGGUACAAAGGAAGCAUUCAACUUAAUUUUUUUCUCUGUAAAUAUUCAACUUUGAAAAUUCUUUGUUAAAGAGAUUCUUAUUUUUCUAUUGUGUGGUCAUGGAAAGCUUGUGGAAGAUUAUUUUAUCAUGUUUGUAAGGGUUUAUUUCUGGGAUGUCUGUUAUUCUGUUUCAUCAUCUAUGUAUCUGUUUUUGUGGCAAUACCAUAUUGUUUUUAUUUUUGUAGCUUUGUAUCAUGACUUUAAAUCAGAAAGUGUAAUGUCUCUUUGUUCUUUUUAAAGGGUGUUUGGCUAGUCAUAGUUCCUAAACAACUUUUAGAAUUAUAAACAAAAAUUCUGCAUAAUAACAUACCAUUGGGAUUUUGAUAAAAAUUACAUUAUAUUUUUAUAUCAUCAUGACUAGUACUGACAACUUUUUUUUUCUUUUUGGAGUAGGAGUUUUAAUCAGUCACUCAGGCUGAAGGGCAGUGAUGUGAGCUGUGCUCACUACAAGCUCCGCUUCCCAGGUUCAAGCAGUUCUCCAGUCUCAGCCACCCGAGUAGCUGGGAUUACAGUCAUGAACCAUCACGUCUAGCUAACUUUUGUAUUUUUAGUAAAGAUGGGGUUUUGCCAUGUUGGCCAGGCUAGUCUCAAACUUCUGACCUCAAGUGAUCCACCCACUUUGGCCUCUCAAAGUCCUAGGACUACGGGCGUGAGCCACUGCGCUGGCAUUGACAUUUUAACAAUAUUAAAUCACCUGACACUGGAGCAAGGCUAUAUGUAAGAUUUUGCUUAAUUUCCUCUUAUUUACAUAUUUGCCUCUUUUUCUUGCUUUUGAUUUCUAGUUUCGUUUACAUUGUAUGACUUCAGUUUUCUUAAAUUUAACAAGACGGGUACCCUUACAGAAUGUACCAUGUGUGAUUGAUUGAGAAUACUUCAUAUGUUGCUGCUUUCGAUUGCAAAGUUCUGUAAAUGCUGGUUAGGUCUAUAAUGUUCAGGUUUUGCUUUCUUACUGGUAUUAUAUCUGACUAUUCUAGUCAUGAUUGAAAGUGGAGUCUUGAAGUCCACAAUUGUUGUGUUGCUAUAUAUUUCUUGCUUCACUUCUGUCAAUAUUUGUUUUACAUAUUUGAAACACAAGAAUCAGUUGAACCUGGGAGGAGGAGGUUGCAGUGAGCUGAUCACGAGAUUGUGCCACUGCCAUCCAGCCUGGGAGACAGAAACUCUGUCUCAGAAAAAAAAAAAAGAAAGAAACAUGUCAGUGCUAUUUAUAGAUUUAUAGUAAUAUAAAAAUUUAAUGUAAUUUUUAUCAAAAUCCCAGUGGUAUAUUUUUGCAGAUUUUUCAAAUUAUAUAUAUAUGAUUUAUAAAUUAUUGUUAUAAAUUCCUUGCAAGUUAAUCCAUCUCACUAUUACAUAAUGCCAAUCUGUCUCUUGUUAACAUUUUUGACUUAAAAUGUAUUUUGUUUAAUACAAUUAUGACCACGCAUCUCCAAUUGUAGCUCCUCUUUCCAUAAAAUAUAUUUUCUUUAAA